rnacentral:rRNA from 1 species
CCUACGGGUGGCAGCAGUAGGGAAUAUUGCUCAAUGGGGGAAACCCUGAAGCAGCAACGCCGCGUGUAGGAUGAAGGUUUUCCGAUUGUAAACUCCUUUUUGUAGAGAAGAUAAUGACGGUAUCUAACGAAUACUCACCGGCUAACUCCGUGCCAGCAGCCGCGGUAACACGGAGGGUGCAAGCGUUACUCGGAAUCACUGGGCGUAAAGCGCGCGUAGGCGGGAUAGCAAGUCAGAUGUGAAAUCCUAUGGCUUAACCAUAGAACUGCCUUUGAAACUGUUAUUCUAGAGUAUGGGAGAGGUAGGUGGAAUUCUUGGUGUAGGGGUAAAAUGCGUAGAGAUCAAGAGGAAUACUCAUUGCGAAGGCAGCCUGCUAGAACGUAACUGACGCUGAUGCGCGAAAGCGUGGGGAGCAAACAGGAUUAGAUACCCUUGUAGUC